rnacentral:misc_RNA from 1 species
GGACAAGAUUGAAACACCAGAGCAGUUCAAGCAAGCUGAAGACACUGUAAACAAACUUGAUUUGGAUGGGCUUGUUGUCAUUGGUGGUGAUGAUUCAAACACAAACGCAUGCCUUCUUGCUGAGUACUUCAGGGGGAAGAACAUGAAAACUCGUGUCAUUGGUUGCCCAAAGACUAUUGAUGGAGAUCUGAAAUGCAAGGAGGUUCCAACAAGCUUUGGGUUUGACACUGCUUGCAAGAUAUACUCUGAAAUGAUUGGUAAUGUUAUGACUGAUGCACG